UCCCUGGUAGUAUAUCGGUUAGUACACGCGCCUGUCAUCGAUCAUCAACUGGACUAUGCGCGCGAAAGCUGGGUUCGACUCCCAGCCAGGGAG